UACUAUUAUAUUGCAGUUGGUACGUCAUCAAAAAUGUUUGAUGUCAAAUAUCAGAGAAAUCUGGACCGUCAAAUCAUGCUGAACAUCCCCACCUUGAUAUCUAGCCGUCCGCCCGAUCUGAUACAUCGUCCCAAGUACUUGCCAAAAAUUCUACCAUGAUCUUAUACGCUCGCCAACAAUCUCUCUCAUUGUCAUCAAUCUCGCUUGCCAAAAUAUCACUCUUACCAUAUGUACCAAUCCCAAGUACUUGCCAAAAAUACUACCAUGAUCUUAAACGCCAAUAAUCUCUCUCAUUGUCAUCAACGCUUGCCAAAAUAUCACUCUUACCAUAUGUACGACCCAUGUACGAAAACCAACUCUUGUUAAACCAGGCAGUCCACCCGAUCCCCUCUCUCCUCUCUCUCUCUCUCCUCUCAUCGGUGGCACCUCUCCUCCACCGAAUCCUCUCCCUUCACUCUCCCCUGAGCAUAGCAGUGACGACCAACGGGAGACGCAGAGACCACAGGUGGGAACUCCCAGGGCAACUAGCCUGCUCCAGAUCGACGGCGGCGAUCUCUUGCCCCGACCGCAACCGAGGUGCAACCAGGGACAUGGGACCACGCAGAUCGAGAGUGAGAGGCGAGGGAGCUCCAUCAUCCACCCCGCAACCUCCCCGAAACAAUGUUCCGCCGACCUCCUAGGCCUCGUGCUAAGAUUGCCGACGAUGGCAACUACCUCGGGAUCUGGGACGACAGUCGCUUCGUCUUCAAGAUGUUUCGGCCGCCGGAGUCAAGGGAUCUCAUGGUUGAGUUGCAAGUUGCACGGUCUUAUCAACUCGAUCCUGAUGCUUAAGGGUUGUGGCCACUCGCUGCUCAAGAUGGAUAGUUUUGUGCAGGGUGUGAGCCACACAUCAAGUUACAAAUUUGUUUAUCAAUAAACGAAUACUGAAUUUAAUUGACUCCAGGAUAAUGGUAACCUCAUUUCCUUUUUAUUUCCCUUUUCAAACUAUGCCUACGCAUUCUAUCACCGAUCAUUUUGUUACACGUGGAAAGACAAGCAAUUAUGCUAUCAGAAUUAAUAUAACUUGUCAUGUUUGUUCAAAUUUAUGUAAAGGUCGCUCAAUCAAGAAGCUUUACUCUUACGCACUGCUUUUCCAAUUUGCUACAGAUAUUUUGUACCCUCAACCUAAUAAGUUGUUGUGUUAUGCAUUAUCCAAAGUAUGAAACCAAAUCUAUCGUUUUACUUUUUGGAGAUUAUCAUUUUUCAAAAGAAGAAGUUGGAAGCAAUAGACUCCAAUGUCAGAAGUUCCCGGUCACCGCUCAUGUGUGUUCUAUCUUUGGAGGUUCAAUAUUGUGUACAAUUUGAUAUUGAAGCACUCGGUGGCAGUCUGUUAAAGGAAGUUGAUUUGAUCAUGCUUGAUCUAGCAACUCACGAGGUUCUUCUUGAUUUAAAAAGAGGUAAAACUUUUUUAAAAUAUAUUAAGAAGUGCAAUACUGGCCUAUACCUCAAAGUCAUUUUUUGUGUUUUUUUCAUGGUAUUUUAGGAGUACUUCUGUAACUACAGAAUUCAACUGACUUUACGUGUAGAGUCAUGCCAGUGCAACAUAAACAAUUCUUUUGUGUCUGGUCAAGUUGGGAAAUUGGCUGCUGAAUGCAUAUGCCCAGGUUAGGCUGCUGGCAAAUGUCGCGGAUCUGCCUCCAAUUCAUAUAUAAACAAAUACCAGUGUAUAACUAUUUAUCAGUUUCUUAACAUCUGGGUGGAACCGUGGAACGAAGGCAAUGCCUUGUCUUAUUGCAAGGUGUAUGUGGAGGAGAUGCAAAACACUGGUGAAAGAAGCGAUGGUGAUGCGUUGUGGUCAUCAAAGAGGGUAUACAAGUAGAAAAGGCAUCAUCAAGUUUUAAAGGAUUCAUGUGAAUGUGGAGGUAACUGCCUUGAUAAAUAUUUAAUUGGCUUCGCUAAUAAAAUGAUGAGACAAACAAAGUGAUGAAAAGGAGGGGAGGUGAUGUUAAAGUGUUUUUAGAUUGACUUGUAACGUGGGAAAAAAGGACCGUGGCAACGCACGGGCAUUCAACUAGUGAUAUAUAGACAUGCCAGACGGUGUGUGUACCAGUGUGUGAUGUAUAUCCUUUUUGUAUAUGUAUUUUGUGUAAUAUAUUUAGAGGAUCUAAUUGUCGUGCGCGUGAUUGUCGAUCCU